rnacentral:rRNA from 1 species
GAUGAACGCUGGCGGCGUGCUUAACACAUGCAAGUCGAACGAUGAAGCCCAGCUUGCUGGGUGGAUUAGUGGCGAACGGGUGAGUAACACGUGAGUAACCUGCCCUUAACUCUGGGAUAAGCCUGGGAAACUGGGUCUAAUACCGGAUAGGAGCGUCCACCGCAUGGUGGGUGUUGGAAAGAUUUAUCGGUUUUGGAUGGACUCGCGGCCUAUCAGCUUGUUGGUGAGGUAAUGGCUCACCAAGGCGACGACGGGUAGCCGGCCUGAGAGGGUGACCGGCCACACUGGGACUGAGACACGGCCCAGACUCCUACGGGAGGCAGCAGUGGGGAAUAUUGCACAAUGGGCGAAAGCCUGAUGCAGCGACGCCACGUGAGGGAUGACGGCCUUCGGGUUGUAAACCUCUUUCAGUAGGGAAGAAGCGAAAGUGACGGUACCUGCAGAAGAAGCACCGGCUAACUACGUG